rnacentral:rRNA from 1 species
GAUGAACGCUGGCGGUGUGCCUAAUACAUGCAAGUCGAGCGAACAGACGAGGAGCUUACUCCUCUGACGUUAGCGGCGGACGGGUGAGUAACACGUGGAUAACCUACCUAUAAGACUGGGAUAACUUCGGGAAACCGGAGCUAAUACCGGAUAACAUGUUGAACCGCAUGGUUCAACAGUGAAAGACGGUCUUGCUGUCACUUAUAGAUGGAUCCGCGUCGCAUUAGCUAGUUGGUAAGGUAACGGCUUACCAAGGCAACGAUGCGUAGCCGACCUGAGAGGGUGAUCGGCCACACUGGAACUGAGACACGGUCCAGACUCCUACGGGAGGCAGCAGUAGGGAAUCUUCCGCAAUGGGCGAAAGCCUGACGGAGCAACGCCGCGUGAGUGAAGAAGGUCUUCGGAUCGUAAAACUCUGUUAUUAGGGAAGAACAAAUGUGUAAGUAACUAUGCACGUCUUGAAGGUACCUAAUCAGAAAGCCACGGCUAACUACGUG